CCAAGCCCCGCCCCGACUGGCACCGGAGGCUCGACGGCCACCGCCUCGUCCUGCGUUUCCUGAGGGCCUCCGGCGCGCCGGCUGUCGGGCGCAUCCCUCCAGAGAUGAGGUCUCAUGUGCUGCCCAGGCUGGUCUCGAACUCCUGGACUCAAGCGAUCCGCCCGCGUCGGCCUCCCAAAGCACUUGUUACUUCAGCUCACCCAAUUCCAUAGAACCCUAGCGGGUGCAGAGGAUGCCAAUCUCUGAGCAGAUGAGGGCAGAGAGCAGGAGACCACACUUGGCCCGAGGCAGGACUGCGGAGCUGUGCAAGAGGUGGAGGCUACGCCCGUGACAGCAGAUGGGUCCUGGUAGUCACACAGAAAACCGGCGAGCUGGAUUUGUCCUGGUGAUGAGGCUCUGGAGCAGCAGUUGCAAGGAGUCAUUCCUGUCCUCCUUAACCACAUCCCCAGAGGCCACUCACCUUCUUCCCAGGUGAAUCAUUCAUACAACCCUGGAAAGGAGACAUCCACCUGGCCCUUCCUACCUGGCUGGCCCUUGCUCUGCAGAUGAGUGUGGGAGUUUGCCCAUUGUCAAGGGUAACUGUUGCAAUUACACAUUCAGGAACUGGAAAGACGACCACAGAUGAGGUCUGUGGACCCCCUUACCACCUGACCUCCACACGCCCUCCCUUUGACUAGCAGGCCAGUGGCAUCUUGGACCCCUGGGAUUAGGAAUGAUUCAAAACCCAUAAAGAUUACCACCCAUACCAUCCCCUAAAAUAACUGAUUUUUCUGACCAGGCACGGUGGCUCACGCCCAUAAUACCAGCACUUUGGGAGGCUGAGGCAGGUGGAUCACCUGAGGUCAGGAGUUCGAUACCAACUGUGGGCGGCAAGCCACCCAGGUGCCGAGGCAAGAGACCGAAGACACGAGCUGUUCCAGUAUAAUAAAAUAAGAAUAGUUAUACCAGAUAUAGAUCUUAGAUAUGAUUAUAUAUGAAUAUCAUUAAUCAUUAGUUGGUAGCAAUUACUCUUUAUUCCAAUAUUAUAAUAAUCCUCGCUCUACAAUCAUAACCUAGGAAAAACCAGGCCAUACAGAGAUAGGAGCUGAGGGGACAUAGUGAGGAGUGACCAGAAGAGUGCGAGCCUUCUGUUAUGCCCAGACAGGGCCACCAGAGGGCUCCUUGGUCUAGCGGUGACGCCAGCGUCUGGGAAGACACCCGUUACCUAGCGGACCGUGGUCUAGCGGUAGCGAAAAGUGUCAAGAAACACCACCCGCUACUUAGCAGACCGGAAAAGGGAGUCUCCCUUUCCCCGGGGGAGUUUAGAGACGACUGUACUCCUCCACCUCUUGUGGAGGACCUGACAUCAGUCAGGCUCGCCCGCAGUUAUCCGGAGGCCUAACCGUCUCCCCGUGAUGCUGUGCUUCAGUGGUCACGCUCCUAGUCCGCCUUCAUGUUCCAUCCUGUACACCUGGCUCUGCCUUCUAGAUAGCAGUAGCAAAAUUAGUGAAAGUACUAAAAGUCUCUAAUAAGCAGAAAUAAUGGCGUAAGCUGUCUCUCUGUCUCCUCUCUCUCUCUGCCUCGGCUGCCAGGCAGGGAAGGGCCCCUGUCCAGUGGACACGUGACCCACAUGACCUUACCUAUCAUUGGAGAUGGCUCACUCUCCUUAUCCUGACCCUUUGUCUUGUAUCCAAUAAAUAUCAGUGCAGCCUGGCAUUCGGGGCCACUACCGGUCUCCGCAACUUAAUGGUAGUGGUCCCCCAGGCCCAGCUGCCUUUUCUUUUAUCUCUGUCUUGUGUCUUUAUUUCUGUACUCUCUCGUCUCCGCACAUGGGGAGAGACCCACCGACCCUGUGGGGCUGGUCCCUACACCAACCUGGCCAACAUGGUGAAACCCUGUCUCUACCAACAAUACAAAAAUUAGCUGGGCAUGGUGGUCGGUGCCUAUAAUCCCAGCUACUUGGGAGACUGAGGCAAGAGAAUGGCUUGAACCUGGGAGGCAGAGGUUGCAGUAAGCUGAGAUCACGCCACUGCACUCCAGCCUGGCGACAGAGUGAGAUUCUGUCUCAAAAA
rnacentral:lncRNA from 1 species